rnacentral:rRNA from 1 species
GACGAACGCUGGCGGCGUGCUUAACACAUGCAAGUCGAACGGAAAGGCCUCUUUCGGGGGGUACUCGAGUGGCGAACGGGUGAGUAACACGUGAGUAACCUGCCCUUGACUUUGGGAUAACUUCAGUAAACUGGGGCUAAUACCGGAUAGGAGCUCCUGCUGCAUGGUGGGGGUUGGAAAGUUUCGGCGGUUGGGGAUGGACUCGCGGCGUAUCAUCUUGUUGGUGGGGGAGUGGCUUACCAAGGCUUUGACGGGUAGCCGGCCUGAGAGGGUGACCGGCAACAUUGGGACUGAGAUACGGACCAGACUCCUACGGGAGGCAGAAGGGGGGAAUAUUGCACAAUGGGUGGAAGCCUGAUGCAGCAACGCCGUGUGCGGGAUGACGGCCUUCGGGUUGUAAACCGCUUUCGCUCAUGACGAAGCUUUGUGUGACGGUAGUGGGUAAAGAAGCACCGGCUAACUACGUG